rnacentral:rRNA from 1 species
UACGUAGGUGGCAAGCGUUGUCCGGAAUCAUUGGGCGUAAAGCGCGUGUAGGCGGUCUGGUAAGUCCGCUGUGAAAGUCGGGGGCUCAACCCUCGGAUGCCGGUGGAUACUGUCGGGCUUGAGUACGGAAGAGGCGAGUGGAAUUCCUGGUGUAGCGGUGGAAUGCGCAGAUAUCGGGAGGAACACCAGUAGCGAAGGCGGCUCGCUGGGCCAUACCUGACGCUGAGACGCGAAAGCGUGGGGAGCAAACAGG